AAGAGGCUGAAUUAAUACAGGAACUUCUUAGGAAAAAAGAUAUAAAAAGUUAGCAACAUCUUUUAACUUUACGUUCCGCUAUAUAGAUGAUGUUCUCUAACUAAAUUAUACAAAAUUUGGUGACUAUGUUGAACGAAUAUAUCCCAUCGAACAAGAGAUUAAGUAUACUUCAGAAACUGUUAAGUAAAUUGACAAUGAGGGUCGGUUGAAAACAAAAUUUUACGACCAAAAGAUGAUUUCAGCUUUCUAAUUGUGAACUUUCCAUUUCUAUGUAGCAACAUUCCAAAAGCGCUUGCAUACGGAUAACAUAUCUCCGAAUUAAUACGAUAUUUCCGAGCUUGUAUUUCCUAUUAUGAUUUACUUGAUAAAUGAUUGCUGUCACAGGGAAGCUAUUAAACCAAGAGUUGCAAAUGGUGAAGUUUAAAUCAUCCCUUCGUAAAUUUUACGGACGCCAUCACGAGUUGUAUGUUUUGUCUUCUGUUCUAUUAUUUAUAUUUUAUUUUAAGCCAUGGCGUUGUCAGUUUAUUUUCUAUGAGUUUGACUUUACCUCUGUUAUCUUUCGUCCCUCUUUUAAAUGAACUUAGUUUUAAACCUAACUAUUUUUGAUUAAGAUGAAGACAUUUAAAGCAAUCAAUUGUUUAUUCCAACUUUCUGCACAAAGAAAUUAUUUAUGUAAGACGUUUAGUAUGAGUCAAACAAUUUCUCUGUAAAUAUCACAGUGUAAGCAAGAAAAAAA
rnacentral:lncRNA from 1 species